rnacentral:rRNA from 23 species
UUGACCUCGGAUCAGGUAGGGAUACCCGCUG